rnacentral:lncRNA from 1 species
UUUUGUACUUGGAUAUUAGCCCAGAUUUGGAGCAAUAUGUCCAUGUGAUAAUUCAUACAUGCGGUGCUAACUAGUUUACAUGGUCAGAAAAUCGAGCACUUUAUGAUCUACUUCAUAAUUCAGACUCAAUAGCUCGACAUGUCAACUACUUGUGUGAUUGUGAUUUUUACAUUCGUUUCAUCACAAGCAUUACCUGCACUGGAGUGCUUGCAAUUUCAUUUAGGAAUCAAGACAACUGAAAUUCUUAACCGAAAUGUAGCUCUCUUGAUUACAGGGCACAUUUUCUCUCAGGAAUGAGAUAGUAAUUGAGCGACCAGGUAUAGCGGGUAUAGCGAUUCGGCCAGACAACAAGAUUGCAGCAACUGCUGGUUGGGAUCACAGGUUUGUCCCCCAUUCUUAGCUUUUAUUGCUGACCAGGUUAUAGGUGAGAUUCAUGGUAUAUGUGAGACUCCCCUGACACAAGCAUGGGAACCCCGAACCGAGGGCUUCAGGGGAAAUUUGGUCGUUUGACAUCUCUAGUUUUUCAAAAUUUAACUAUGUGGACUUCCUUGCCCCCCCCCCCCCUUUUCUUUUCUCCAACAACUCCCCACACUUCCCUAUGUGCACCCCGGACACCAGUGUUGGCUGCGCUCAUCGUUACAGCACCUAUACCUGCCCUUGUGCUAUGUAAUGUUCGCUAUGUAACCCAGUGUUGGAACUCAGCAGUGCAACUUGAAUUAGAACUGCAAGGAACAUAGGCCAUGCCACCUAUGAAACCCAGCGUUCAACCUAUGUAACCCACACUUGUGCUACGUACCCAGUGUUCGCCUUUAGCAUCAUGGACUUGCUGUACANUGUGUGAUUGUGAUUUUUACAUUCGUUCAUCACAAGCAUUACCUGCACUGGAGUGCUUGCAAUUUCAUUUAGGAAUCAAGACAACUGAAAUUCUUAACCGAAAUGUAGCUCUCUUGAUUACAGGGCACAU